GACGAACGCUGGCGGCGUGCCUAAUACAUGCAAGUCGAGCGCAGGAAACCGUCUGAACCCUUCGGGGGGACGACGGCGGAAUGAGCGGCGGACGGGUGAGUAACACGUAAAGAACCUGCCCACGGGUCUGGGAUAACCACGAGAAAUCGGGGCUAAUACCGGACGGGUCAUCGGACCGCAUGGUCCGAGGAUGAAAGGCGCUCCGGCGUCGCCCGUGGAUGGCUUUGCGGUGCAUUAGCUAGUUGGUGGGGUAACGGCCCACCAAGGCGACGAUGCAUAGCCGACCUGAGAGGGUGAUCGGCCACACUGGGACUGAGACACGGCCCAGACUCCUACGGGAGGCAGCAGUAGGGAAUCUUCCACAAUGGACGAAAGUCUGAUGGAGCAACGCCGCGUGAACGAUGAAGGCCCUCGGGUCGUAAAGUUCUGUUGUAAGGGAAGAACAAGUGCCGCAGGCAAUGGCGGCACCUUGACGGUACCUUGCGAGAAAGCCACGGCUAACUACGUGCCAGCAGCCGCCGUAA
rnacentral:rRNA from 1 species